GCCCCAGCCUGGAGCCAUCCUCCCCACGCAGCCUCUCCCCAGGGCUGGGGCUCUGCCCUGGUGAUUGAGGGAGGAGACUCUGUCCCCUCCCCGGGCGCCCAAGCACCGACCUCCUGCUCUGCAGAGACAGCAAACCCACCACAGCAUCCUCUGAGGCCAGGGGACAAGAAGGAACAUGCAUAACCCUUCAGAAACUCCAGCUGGGCACAUUGCUGAGAACCUUCUCAAAGCCAAAGAAAUAGCCCUCAAUGACUCUCGUGUUCCUGAACAGCUCAGGAAUUACUUACAAAAAGCUCUUGAUGUUGCUCUUGGACUAGACCCUUACCUGGAUGCAAUGGCAGCUUCCAAGAGAAAAACUUCACCUGAGCUCAUCCCAGGAGAUGCUGAAGGAGUUGAAAGCAGUGUCAGACUUCAGGAAACACGUGCCUCUGGCUCUUUGAAUGGCCAAAUUUUUAGGAUGUUUGUCCAUAUGACCAGAGCCAGGAAGAUUUUAUUAAUUGGCAAGCUUAAAGGUUACAGUAUCCUUGCUAUUGCAGAGGAAUUGCCAGACAAUGGCAAAAUCUUUGCCUGUGCAGAAGAGCCGUAUCUCGGAAUGAACAGCCAGGAGGCAUUUGAUUAUUCCUCAGAUGGCAAAAAGAUAAGCCUGCGAGUGGGACCAGUGGCAGACACCUUGGAGGCAUUACAUGCUGAGGACGAGCACUUUGAUAUAGUCUUUAUUGAUGCUGAUCAAAGGAAUGCUGUUCAGUACUACAGCUUUGUCAUGGAUAACCACUUGCUGAGCAUGGAUGCAGUGAUCUGUGUAGAGAAUACACUCAUGAAAGGACAAGUCUACCUGGAGAAUGUAUCAGAUGAAAAUGUACUAGCUGUCAGAAAAUUAAAUUCAGUGAUUAAUUCAGAUCCUCGUGUUGAGCAGGUGAUUUUGCCUGUGCAGAGUGGACUGAGCCUCAUCCGAAGGAGCCCUGUGCCUCCAGAUGCAGUGAUUGAGUCCAAGACACAAGUGGUGAAGGAUGAUGUCUUCUGGGGCUGCAACCGGCGCCGCAUCCUGGAGCGGCUGCGCCUGGACGGCAGGGUGGCCUAUGUCACAGGAGGAGGGCAAGGGAUUGGCAGGGCCUUUGCCCACGCCCUGGGGGAAGCUGGGGCUAAAGUGGCUGUGGUGGAUCUGGUCCUUGCCAAGGCAGAAGCGGUGGCGUGUGAGCUCAGCCUCAAAGGCAUUAAAAGCUUUGCCCUGGCAGCAGAUGUAAGCAAGCCUGAGGAUGUGCAAAGGAUGGUGGAUGCAAUUGUGGCUCGCUGGGGCACAGUCCACAUUGCAUGCAACAAUGCAGGAAUCAAUCUGAACUCUGCAAGUGAAGAGACUUCCCUGGAGGAAUGGGACAAAACUUUUAAUGUUAAUUUACGAGGAUUAUUUUUGUGCUGCCAAGCUGCAGGCCGCAUUAUGCUGAAUCAAGGAUAUGGGAAGAUAAUUAACACAGCAUCUAUGGCAAGUUUAAUAGUCCCUCACCCACAGAAGCAGUUGGCGUACAACGCCUCCAAAGCCGGGGUCGUAAAAUUAACACAGACAUUGGGAACGGAGUGGAUUGACAGAGGAGUAAAAGUCAACUGCAUUUCCCCGGGCAUCGUUGACACGCCGCUGAUCCGCUCGCAGGAGCUGCGGCCGCUGGUGCGGCGCUGGCUGGCUGACAUCCCAGCUGGGAGGCUGGCCCAGCCCACGGACCUGCAGGCUGCUGUGGUCUACCUGGCCUCCGACGCCUCUGACUACAUGACAGGCCACAACCUGGUCAUCGAGGGUGGCCAGAGCCUGUGGUGAGAGGCGUCCUGCAUCUCCCUUCUCACGGGCCUUGGAAAGGAAGGAAAGUACACGCUCUUCCUUGGAGAACCCUGAUGCAGUCCUACAGCAUCUGCCUUCUCACCAUAACAGACUGGAAUUCUUCAAAAUUCCUGAAUAACAAUAAUGGAGACCAGAAACACGAAUCUUCCUGGAAUGAGCCCCACCAGACAAGCUCUCCUCAGGCUGCCCUUGCUGUACCCUCCUGUGGGACAAACAGCCUCAGACACGAGGCGACAGAGUGUGUGGGAAGACAACAUCAAAGCCAGGGCUUGUUACAGACCCUUCCUCGAGUCCUGUCAUCUCAGGAGUGGGCUGGACACCCCGGUGGCAAAACCACCACAUUUCCACAGGAUGGGAUUUAUAUGGUCUGGGGAUUUGUAUAGCAGCUCUGGAAGAAACCAUCAAAGGAAGGACAGCUGGUUACAGGAACAGAUAAGGAGAAAGAUGACUUUGCAGGUAGCUGAAGGAGAUAUCCAAGGAGUAGCUGAAGAAGACAGAGUACAGGGCAGCUGCCUUCCAGAGAAGACAUGUGGGUGCAAGAAAGAGGUGCUGGAGCAGCCAGGCUCCUGGUAUCCCCACAGAUGUUACACUUGCUCAGCUAUGGAUGUCCUUUGAGCCAGGUAAAGGUGGCACUGGAAGAACAAAGGUCUGUCCCAUUUGGGAAAAGGAAACCCAGAUACAGAGUUAUCCUUGAAUACAAGAACUUGCACCCCUCCAGAAGCAGAGGACCAUGUGGGUGGAGCUGGGGCUGCCUGCAGUGGUGACCCAAAAUCUCAUUUACUUACCCAACAUCCAUGUGAGAGCUGGGAAUGAGAAAAGGACUUUCUAUUCUAUCCUGGGACAUUUUCCCUCAGACCUUGUAUUUGUCUCAGCAAUGUACUCCAAUGACCUAUGAACUUCUCUGUUGGAAGUCCCUGGUCCCUCUUCAGUACAACUAAAAUGGUGUCUCCCACUGGAAAGCACUAGGAGAUGACUGUCCAAGAUGCCAAGUGCUACCUCAGGAGAGCCAAGCCCUUCACAGAGGCAGCAGAUGCAGUUCAGCAUUGCUCAUUCUGUUGUGCUUCAACUCUGACCACGGAGGCGCGAGCUCCUGGGACAGAAAGUGCUCUGUUUACACUCAGACCUUGGCAUUUUUCCUAAGGGUACCAAUUAUAAUGGUGUUUUUUUGUGAUAUGGGCACACAUCCAUUAUGAAUUGGCUUGCACCCACCAACUCAUUUUGUACAGGCCAUGGAACAUCCAUCAGAUGGCAACGAUUCCCAUUCGUGUGCAAUGUUAAGGAAAUCUAGAUCAUUACCAGCAGGAUAAUGAAUUCCCUAGAAUUGUUCCAUUGUGCAAUUAUAUGAAGUAUGCUAAGAGAAAGGGCAGUUUCUCAAUAAAGUACUCCUUUUUAUUUUCCUAAACCACAGGAAUGAUAGAUUAUUAAUCAUGAUUAAUGCUCAGUUACAGUGAAUUAUAGUGGAGCAGUGCCUGGAAAUCCCAGUCUGCUUGGUAAACUCAUUUUCUUGCAUAAUAGGAAACUUACCUUGCAUUUAAGAGAACCUAAACAGAUGAAAGCAAUGGAACCACCCAUUUCACAUAAUUAAAAGAAAAAUUUAAUAGAUACAUACAUUCUUAGUCUGACACUCUUGAACUUUUUUUUAUACUGUACAAGCAUAAUAGAAGAAAUACAAUUGCAAACAUCUUAAUUGUUCCCAUAUUUUGCUUUCUUCCUGAGAACCAAAAUCUUCUAGAGCUCAGCUGUAGCACUCAGCCUGAAUCCCUCAGCAGCACUGGAGUUAAGGCAGAGCUGUGCAUUGUCUGGACAUUUGGAAGAUGUUUCUUGCUUUAGCUGAUGAUUGCUCAAGACAAUAUGAAUGAUCAAAGUGCUUUAGGAAGCAGAGGAAAGUCAAAUGAGGUAAUAUAAUAUAUUCCAUCCCUAUAUUUGGGGAUGUACAUGGGAUAAUUUUUGCCAGCCCCAUAUCUAAGGGACUCAUUGCACAUGGAGAGUAAGGCACCAAAAAGACAUUAUGGAAGUUCUCAUGGUCAGUCAGAGAUAAUAAUAUUCUUAAUAUUCUUUGAGAUAACUGAACAUUAAACUUUUGGAAGCCACCAGAGGCUUUUCCAAUAUUUAGCAAACAUCAGUUCCCCUAAAGUUUACAUCCUAAUCCGUAUUGUGUUCUGAGAACAGAGUGAAAGGAGGUGAGAAGACAUUUUUGUCUCAAGGAUGAGACUGCUGGGUCAUUUCCAAGAGGAGAUCCUUAGAGAGCAUCCCAUGGUCCUUUCCUGUGGAAGGUAGCAAUGCAGCUCUCCGUUAUUCUCUCUGUCUCUCUCUUCCCCCAAGCAAUCUGUCAGUGCAUUUCUGGUGCCGGGGAGAGGCGUCGUGUCGGAGCGCUGUUCCCGUUUGCAAAACGGGAACUUCUAUUUGUUGUUCUCAGGAGCUGGUUUCACACACUGACAUCUCGCCGGGAGCACAGCUGAGUCCAACAUGUUCCCAACAGCCAUCCACCCAAACGCCUCCUACUCCAGCACCCAGACCUUCCUUCCCAGUAAAUAAAAAAUACAGAGCCAGCCUCGAAUUGUUCCAAAUGCUUCGGCUUCCCUGGAAUGUCUGCCCAUGUUCAGAUCUGAUAAAUGGGUAUUUUUCUGCACCAGGAAGUCAGUUUAGUGUGGGAAUAGGAGGCUUUUCAAAGAGUUUCUGGAAUAGUUAAUGGAAAAGUCUGACUGACUUUCUCUGGUGUCAAUAUGUUUAAGUGCUCAUACCUGUCAUGAAAGUACAAUGUUGCAAUUAACAACUUUAAGACAGAAAACAAAGUUAUCACAAGCUGCUGAUUCUACUGUGUUGUAUGAAAUAACAUGCUUUUCAAGGUUUCAUUGCUGAAAAAGGUCUCAAAAAAUCUACUUCCUAAAGCAGGAAACUGAGCAGUGUGCCCAUGUACACUUCAGCAAGGAGAUAUUGCUGCAUUAUUUAAAACACCACCAACAGCAGCUCUCAAUAUAUCCCAGUGUGAUUCCAUUCGUAUUGCUGGGACAUCCUGUCUAAUCAUGGGUAUAGUUAUUCUGUCUUUGACCUUACCUCUGCUCUGUAGUAGACAUGACCUCAGUAUGCCAAUCUAUGGAUUACAACACCAAAAAAAAAAUCUUUUGAAUUAUGAUUCCUAGGAAAAAAGUUGGAAAAAAUUCCACAUUUGUGCCAAAAGCUCCCAGUCCAGUUCCACAGCUGAAUGAGACUUCUCUUGCCAUGCAUUAUACUGGUGUGGUCAAUAUGUUUUUUCUUGCAGACUCAGAAUUGGAACAAGACAUCCUGGCUUGAAAGGCUAAUUCCCCAUCUCUGAUUCCCUCACUGACAACAUUUAGGGGUAUGCCACCCUCUGGUUCCCCCUCUUGGGCUCCGUUCAGCCAUUGCACAUGAAAUCUCCCAUUUUGGAGACUGGCAUCAAGAGCAAGGACUGCCAAUGUACAUCUUUAUUGGUGCUUCUCUAGGAACUGGUACGUGGAACAAGCUUCCUUCUUUUCUGCAUCCUAAAUGCCUUGGGUCAGAGUUUUUAUUCAUAAAUAUCCACAUGCCACUUUCUAUCACAACCUGUGGCAGAAAGGAUAGAAUGAUCCAAGCCUCUGUGGCCUGGUAUGUAGAAGUGAGAGUUUAGCUUAGCUUUGGAAGAUUUAAGAUCAAAAUUCCAUGGGAGAGUGCAAAUUGAAGCAUUAAAACUCAGCAUUGCCCAUCCUGGGAUGAGUGACCCAAACCAGUGCCUCCUGGAUGUCAGUGGGUUGUGCUGUGGGAUUUGGGUCCAGACCCAGCCAGCAGGCUGGGACUGAUGUGGUGAUGAAGGACUAAUGAUUUAGCUCCUUUAGGUGACUACAGCUCACAAUGGGACAAUGCAAGAUAAGGAAAUCUCUUCUAUUCCUCACCAAUGUCCUGGAAGGAGCAGAAAAAUGAGAUGUUCUGGGCUGCUCGCUGCAUUGCUGAGCAGACUUCUGAAAUCUCCAUGGCGAGCUCCAGGCACUCCCCAGUCUCGUGGCAGGACUCAAAGAGGCUGCAAUCAAUGUCACAGUCACAGUUGCAGUCGUUGUUGCCGUGCUCUUCGUCGGAGGUCUGGUAAUAUCUAUUGGAUGGACAACAGGUACCUUUGACUUCUGAGAUAUCUUAAAGAAAAGCCAAGGAAAGGCUGACAGAGAGUGAAACCUUGAUGACACUGCAGCUGUGCCCCCAGUAUCUUCGCAGAGAGAGGAGGAAAUGUGGAAGGGAUGGAUGGAUUACAGGGAAAGGAAGCAGAAAAUUAACUGCCUAGACAGAAAGUUUCAUCCAAGGAGAGGUGAAGAGGAUCACCAGCAAACACAGAAAUUCAGGGAAUACAGCAAUUUUCAUGCAGCUGACACAACUUGUCUUACCCAAAAGAGCAGAGACUGCUUGGGGAUCCUGAUUCACUGAUGCAGCAUUGAACCCUGAGUUUCUGAAUGAGGCCCUGGCUGGACCAAAUUCAGCAGCAGUGGCUGGAGACACAACCCCACAUGUGCAGGUCGGCGCUGAGUGCAGGCAUAAAUGUAUCUGCGUGCUGAGGUGUAGCAAGUGGCAGAAACAUCUCCAGAACAUUGUAAAAAAUCUGUGCUUCCGAGAGAGGAUGUGCUGCCUGGCCCAAAGGAAGCUCUCUGCACUCAAGGAACCAGCCACCCAGAUUUUUUGACAAUUUUACAUGGUACACAAGAGGGAACUCUGCCUUAGGCAGGUGAGCUGGAGGAUGCUGCUCUUCAGCUGGGUGAUGGACUGAUUCAUCCUGACCACACACUGACUUCCAGCUUGACCUCCCUGUGAUGCUGCCUUCUGACCUGGCCCCCAUCUGCAGGUCUGCCUACUCCUCUCACUCAGAAGUACAUAAUUUUCAUGUGAGUGGUUGUGGAGUCCAUCUUGUUGCUCUCAUCAUUUCAUCUGCUCUUUUUACACCCCUGGAUUUGGGAAUGCUGACAUUGCUAAGGUUCACACCAAGGCCUCCCGUUUGAAAAAUGUAUGUGUGCUCCUGCACCUAAUGUAUAUGCAUAUUCAGUGUGACUGCAUAUGGAAAUGGAGCAUCCAUGCCAAGAGUUUUCCAGCCAAGAGGCUUUUUGCAUGUCUCCAGGUCUGCCUUAGAAAGGCACUGGAAGAAAGGAAGGAAAAUGAGGUUAUCCUACAAAAUAAUCUACUACUAUUUGGUAAGGGCACAGGAAUAGAGAAUGAAGCAGUGGUUUAAUACUGGGAGUAGAAGCUGCAUGUAGUAAUCAGCUGAACAUUUACUUCAUUCAUUAGUGCAAAGCAAAUGCUGGGUUGUGCAGAAGUCAAUGAAAAAUUUCCACGGUUUUGCUGCAGGCUUUGCUGAAUGACACCACUUGUCCACAGAAGUGCUCUGAACCUCAGACUCAGAGCCUCAAUGAUGCACCUGGAGCUCUGCAUGUGGAAUCCAGCAAGGUCUGUCUGGGUGCUCCGUGGAGCAGAGCUCCCUCCAGAGCUGAAGGCAGAUGGUCGCUGGGGAGCCCAGUGCCAGGUCUGGGUGACAGGAGCGGAAAGGCAAGGACGGCCACAGCCGGAUGAGACACUUCUCUUCCUCUCUGGAUGUAACACGCUGAAAACGCCAGAGAUACGUCAGCCAGAGAUGGGGCUGGGGGCCGGAGCUGCGUCAGAAACAGCCCUUCUCCUGCGGGGGUGGAAGAGGAGCCCUGACUCCCCAGGAAGGUCAAGGCCGGCCAGCAAACAACCCGGGCAAGAAACCCCCAGAUGGAUAAACAAUCCAGACAUCUGGUGAGAUCCCGGCAUUGCUGCAAUCAGGGAGGUUUUGGCACCGGCUUUGACACUGCCAGGAUUUCCCUUGUAAUUAGCAGCGUGCAGCCUGUCUGGGGAGGAUGUUCCCUCCGGAAAGCUGCUGGGACCAGGCUGCAAAUCGAGCUUAAUCUCUGUGAAGCAAAGAAUAACACCCAGUUAGUCUCUGGCUCCCCAAAUAACAAAAUAUUUCUAACUGGAACUCAACAAAUAUUAGAUGCUACUGAUAACUAACUACUGGUAACUAACUGGCUUGGUUGCUGGCAAGAUUUCCUAAGGGGCUCACGGUGGGGCCACGAGGACAGCAGUGGAACAGACUUGGAGCAGCCAUGAGAAGGGAUUCAGUAUGGCAAAGGGAGCAUAAACCUCAGAGCAUGUGGAAGUGCCUGCAUCCCCUUCACAGCAUCAGAAAGUAAGGGGGUGUUUAUAAACAAUGCAGAGUUCUGGGCUGGAGGAGACAGAGGAGAGGAUAAUCUAAAGGCGUUGUGGUUGCUACUGCAAGCCUGUCUUUUGUCUCUUCUGUUCAGCCUGAGAGCAACGGCUGAAAUCUAACAUCUGGUGUAACUGUACAAACCUGACCUUAGGUCACAAAACAAGUAGCCAAUGAUGAGGACAAGUGUAGGAAGAAGAUACUGGCAAAAGAAUAUUCUUCUUCAUGAUUCUUCAAGAGGAACAAUGGAGCCAUCUUCCAAGAGAGGUCGAUGCCCAAGGCUGAUUGAACCUCUCUCAUCCCAACCCCUCUGCCAUGGGCAGGGACACUUUCCACUAGACCAGGCUGAUCCAAGCCCCACCUGACCUGGCUUUGAAUGCUUCCAGGAUGGAGCAGCCACAGCUUCUCCAGCCUACAGAUAAAAAGCUUCACCCCAAAAGCUUCAGCGCCCAAAAGAAACAAAGGUGCUGCAAACCCACCUCAAAAGGCCCAGAACACCUGGUUUCAGGCACAACAGGAAGAUCAGAACAUACCUUAUCAUAAAUAUGCAUAUGCGGCGCAGGAGCCCGCCACCUCCUUGGAGUGAUGCCAUAAUUGACGGAACAAAGUACAACAAAACUUCACAUCACUGGUGGAUCAGAAGAACAGAGGAGAGCUGCUGAAAUGGCAAGCAGAGGCCGGCUCCAGAUAUUACUCUGGGGCUGUGAGAGGAAGGUGAUGCAGAGGAGUCGAAUUCAUGAACAAUUAGCACCCUUUGAUAAGACACCAUCUGCUCCCAGCUGCCUGGCUCCAAUUCCCCAACAGACACUUGGGAAUUCCUCUCCAAAUAAACCACUGGUGUAACAGGAAAACAGAACUGUCAGCUCCAGUGAAGUUGUGCCUCCUUGCAUCAGCGCCGAGUGUGUCUCACUCUUUAACCAAGAAGGAAAAAACUGUGAAAGGCAGUAAAAUGCCAGCAGCCACCACUGAAAGAGCCAGACAGCAGAGCUGAGAUUGCACUGUGGUUGAAGCAUGACAGGAAGUUACAUCCAUCCCAUGGUAUGGAGAGCACUUGGCUGCAUUUGGCUGAAGCUCUGCGAGCACCACUCCUGCAGCGCCAUCCUUCACUCCUCGCCACGGCUGCUCUCAAGCCACUGCACAUUAAAAGCUCAUCUGAGGUAUGAGUCACUUCCAUCAAAAGAGGAGGAUGCCUUGAUCUGUGUGCGAGCGAGCUUUGGAGCAGCAGCUGUUGGAGCAAAUACAAACGUCCAUGCCAAGGAUUGUAAGGAUGGAGUUUAUCUAAUAUGUAAAAAAAACACCUGCUGCAAAUGAAAAAUUACACCCACAACCACCUGAAUAAGAUAAGCAAAUGAUGGGGGAAAUGAAGAGACAGAUUUAUUAUUAAUGCUAACAAAGAAAAUUCCUGUGAAGAAAGGAGGAGGGAUUGGUAAAUACCCCAAGGUGAUGUUGCUUGCCAUUUCCAGCUCAUGUGCUUUGAAGAUCUCUAGCCAAGGUAAUAAAAUCGGGCAAAAAGAAGGACUUUGCUAUGUCCCAGCUCCAGGAUUUGGGGAAAAACCAGGUGUGGAUACCAUGGAGGCUGCAAACACACCUGAGGGCCAUAUCCCACCACCUCAGUCAUCACUGCUGGGGAGAGUGGUGGCUUGUGGCGAUGUGAGGAUGAAGAGUAUUCAACGUGCCAGAAUUAACCACCACUGCUGCAAGGAUGAAAGAUAGCCCUGAUUAACACACCAUUAAAUGAACGUUUAACAUCAUCAUUGAAGACUGAGCCUGAUUAAUAGGUCAAGAAGGGCUAAUUACACCUUGUUGUCAGGAAGGGUGUGUGUAUGCGUGCAAGUGAGCGGCACCAGGGAUUGCCAGUCCCUUAAAUUAGACCAAUAAUGUGAAGUUUGUCAGAAUCUGUGACCAUGGCCCAAGUUAAAUGUCACUGAUGGGAUCGUCGGCAGGGAGCAGGUGGGUGUGCAAAGAGCACACCAGCUGGCAUGUCCUCCUGGGCCUCCAGCUCCUGAGCUUUUCCCUCUGGGACAGGAGAAACCCAGAAAAACUACUCACAGGCUCCGGUUUUCUUUAGAAAUUCCUCAGAGGCAUUGCCUCACCACUGCCCAUAAAAGCGCUGUUCAGCUGUGGUGGAAAACAGCGUUUCUGCCUGGAAAAGGUAUUUCCCAGCUGGCUGUUGCUGGUGGAGUAGGAAGGCAUUGUGUGAUGUUCCCUGAUGGAGCAGCCAGGGAGGAGAAAUGUGAUUAAUAACACAAAGAUGAUACAGGAGGUGGCCAAGAGCCAGAUUCCCAUCCGCUGCUCCAGGCAGCACUGACUGGGACGGGAGGGGAAAUGAUGGUCCUGCUGCUCAGCUCAGUUGCCAGCUCCUCAGCACAAGCUGCAUGUGGCACCCACCCCAGCAGCUCCCCUUAAACCCACGCCCACGGGCAGUCAGCAGAUAACAAACAUGACAUUUGGAACCCCAAAUCAUCUUUCGUGAGAUGCCCAGGCAGGUGGAGCAGCCAAUUAAUCUGGGAUGGCCUUGCAGCCCCUGACCUGCCUGCUGGUGACCUGUGUGGGGACACAGAGUCCCCCAAGGGAGGCUGAGGGCCCUGCUGGGGCUCAUCCAGGGACACGUUUCCUACCUGGAGCUGACUCCCCCCGUUUUACAGAUGCACACCAUAUCAAACAGCAGCUUCUGGCUCAAUCCACUCUGCCUGUGACUUUGGAAAAUUUAAUCCCACAAAUCCUCUCCAGUUUACUAAAAUCUCACUGGUGGUGCAAGUGCACCACACAACCAAGGCCGAAUUUGUAUUCUCUGUAUUUUGAUUAUUAAAAUCUACCAGUCCAUACCAUUUGGGGACACACUAUAAUGAGUGUGCAAAGUUCCCCUCCCCCUACCCCCAAAAAAUAGUUAUCUGGUGUAAUUUUAUGAUAGAAUAUUUUUAUAAAAUCAUUUGUACUAAUUUAAGCAUUUAUCAUUAUAUGCAAAAAGAUUUCUUGAUGAGAAUAUUAUAGACGGUGCAUGUUUUUGACAUUAGCAUUUUAUUUGGAUGACUAAUCUUGCAGAUGUGAAAUUUUAAUGAAUUAUUCAUGAAAAAUCUCUCCUCUGAAAUUUCAUUUUGCUGCUAAUGCUAGUUAUUAAACAUUUUAUUUUUCUUUACAAAACUUGAUGAGGAAAAUAAAUGUGUGCUUACUCGGAAGAAAAAGAAGGUGGGUUUUUCCUUCAGUUUGUCUCGGGUGACAGUGCCAGUUGGGACUUUGCUCCUCACAGUUUUAUAGACCAAGGGGUUGCUCCUGCAAACCCCUUUUAGCAGAGGUGCAGUGCACAUUCCCAGCCCUUCCUACCAAAGCCAGCAGCACCAUCAUUCCCAUCAGGGCACUGCACUGGGAAGGAGCUGCACGAUGAAGACCCCAACCCCUUCCUUUGAGAAAGCGAAUAACCCCCUGCGACCCCAAUGGGUGAAACUGAAGGACUUCCUUGGAAAAGAUUAUUAAUUCCUUGAAUGACAGUGUCUUCUUUGCUUCCAGUGCUCCAGCCUCACCCAACUGCCCCGGGUAAGGGCAGACUGUCCACGAAUCCACCACUAAAAUAUUUUAUACUUGGAUGUGGUCGGGGGAGACUCAAGGCAAGAGAUGAGAUUUGUCCAUCCAUGAAUGAGCUAGGACAUGGAUGAGGCGCCCACGGAUCAGGGACCAUGGGAUGUGACAUCAGAGUCACUGUGAGGGGGAACAACAAAACAAGAACUUCGGACAUGGCAACUUGCAUUACCAGUGUGAACAACCAGCAUUUUAUUGCAUUUGAGAAUGCUAUAAUGUCAGUAAUUAGUACUGACUACACAACAUUUUUUAUUGUCUGUAUCAACAGACAUGGAAUGAUGGAAUUACAGUUGAUGUAAGGAAUGAGUUUCUUUUAUGCCUUAUCAAAAAAAAAAAAAAAAAUCUUGUUACUGGCAGCACAUACACACGAAGCACCAUGCUAACAGUCUGGACUGUACCAUUUUCAUCAAGGCUUAUGGGUAGAAGAUACUUGGUUACCUGUUCUGGGCCCAUUAAAAUGCAGUCCUGAACUGCAAAUUCACCUCGCAAGACUAGAAUACUAAAUGACUUCUGAAACAUCUAAAAAAAAUCACUCUGAGUUCAUUAACCAAAGGUACCAAAGGAUUUCAAAAGAGUUUAAACACGUUUGGUUUUUUUUUCCCAUGCUAUAAUGAACGUGAGAUUAUUGGUGAGCUGAAAACUACAAUAGUUCAAAAUUAUUUUAAAAAACUUUUGUAUAUAUAUAUUUAUGUAUGUAUAUAUAUAAAAUAUCUAAUGAUCUGCAAUAUUUGUAGAACCAGCAUCCCUGCCCCGGUCUCUCCCUGAAGCUCCAGGAAAGGGGAGGUGCAGGACCUGCCGCGGGACUCUUGCGAGUGAGAAUCAAAAAAAGGUCAUUUUUAUUUGUGGUCACUUGUUCUACAUAAGCCUUGAUUUUGUUUUUUUUUUUUUGUUUUUUUCAUUUCACUUCUAGUUGAAUGCAGAAACCUAACAGGUUUUACAUUUACAAACUUUUUUUUUUUUUUGUGGACAAGGAAGGCUUUGACUCUCAUUCCUGACAGCGAUUUACCUGAUACAUGGUACUACUUUCAUAAUGUACGCUUUUCUUUGAGAAAAAAAACAUGUAACAAAUUGUCUUUACAUCUUGGCACCUUGUAAAGUAUUUUUUUUGUUUUUUUAUACAAAAAGUUCAAUAGUUUGACACUCCCCAUUAUUAAUCACUACUUCACUGAUAAACUUUGAAAGUGUGACCCUGGAAUUCAUCAUGCAAAAUAUUUACUGCAGCAGGAGAAAAACAUUUUUUUUUUUUAAACGAUUUUUUUUUCCUUUCAAAUAUAUGAACUUUGUUUAAGACAGCCAGAAAAGGCAGUGGUAAGAUAACAGAAGGGGUGGGAAAGUAUCAAAAAAACCAGCUUAAACACAAAAACUGUACAAAAAUGCUUCGAUCAAUGAUAACAGGAGAAAAAAAAAAUCUGUCAACUAUGUUACAAUUUAAAAGCUGAAAAAAAAAGUCAGGGAUUUUCUCCCACAUGUCAGCAAAUGUCAUCCAAUAUUCUUAAAGCAAGGAUAACUAAAUAAAAUACAUGUGCAGCGUAUUCUGCAAUUCCAUUACAUACAGUAGUUUUUUUUUUUCAAAGCUAUUUUUUAGUAUAGUUAAUAUAAAGCAGUUGCACAAAAAGCAAAAGGUGUUUUGACAAACAGGUCUGCAUUUAUUCCUUUUGAGGAAUGAUAUCUAAAAAAAGGACCUUUCCACCUUUUCCUCCCUCCCCACCCUCCCCCCAAAAGACAAAGGCUCACACAGACACAGUGGGAUAUAUAUGUACAACAUAAUAAACCCCUCCCUAAAGAAGCAACUGUAUAUCCAAAGGGAUACAGAAUCAGAAUUGUAAAAAUCAUAGUGAAGUUUGCUUGAUGUAAAGCCUGAGAUUUUCAGUUGGUUCUUCUGCAAGGCUGCAACACCUGCCAGAUAUGUUAAACUCUAAUUUUUUGUUUCUUUUUCUCUUUUUUUAAUUUUUUUUAUUUUUGCUACAGUCUUUAGACUAAGCAUGCAAGACAUACAACUAAGUGCAACUGAGUGAAAUGUAUUUUUUAUUUACUCAUUCCCUAACAGUUUGGACUGAGGUAUGCGUACUAACAGUUUUCUCAUGCUGUUAUCUUUACUCAUGUCUAGCUACACAUGCUGAGAAUGAACUAAUCUACCAGAUUUUUAUCCCCCUUCUGAAUACCGAACUAACCAGCAAACCACUCAGUUUUGAAGCACAGGGCUCAAUUCUCAUGAUCCCUGUCUGGCUACCGCCGGCACGUCACGAAGCUGCCUGGAUAUAAUUUAAACCAAAACUAGAAAAAAAAUUAAAAAAAAAAAUUAAAGACAAUGUUUCCAAAUGACCACAGACUGCCCUUUUUUUUCUUUUUUUUUUUCCUUGUCGUUUUGAAACAGAAAGCAGAGUUUUAGAAAAGUAACUGCCGAUAAAAUUUUUUGUACCAAAGCUUAUGAGUGGACAGGAGUGUUAUUUCCUUAUGAAAAAUGCUGACCAAAAACUAAACAAAACUGAGUAAAUGUGCCAAGAUCAACCAAAAUUAAAGCAGACAUCCCAGCACAGUCCCGGAACAGAAGUGGCACACAAUCUGUAGAACCAAAGACCAAAAAAUUUUUUUUCCUUUUUAUUCUAGAAAUACCAUUAUAUCAUCCAGUUAAAUUGUGGGAGCUUUUCUGUUCUCUUCUGUGUUUUAUUAAACUGUCUCCUUUAUCUGAUACCGUAAUUUUCCACGAAAUAAUUGUGUCUUUGCUUUCUUCAGCUCCCUUCUCAUAGCUCCCCCAGUAACACUGAUUCCUAGUUUUAACCUCAAAAGCUCUCCUCGAUUUCUCUUUACAGACUUUCAUUUUGGUCACUGUAAAGAAUUGCAAAUAAAAAGUAACAACUUUGGUUCAGACAUCUACUUGGCCUUCUAAAUUUUCUAGAAUAAAGGAGCAGUUUCCCUCUCAGGUUAGCAAUAGCCCACAUCUUGUCAUUUCCCUCUAAAUUCUUCAACCUCCUUUGAUCAACAAUAAGAGGAUAUUUGGCUUCAUAAGAUAAAGCAUAUAACAGAGAACAUAAUUUACCUUUGUGUAAUAUCUUUGGUAAUUUUAGGAAAAAAAAAAGGUACAAAGAAGAAUAUAAAUUAAGCUCUGAAAGGCUUUUCGAAAUAAUAAAAAAAAGCUACAGUCCUACAUAAAUAAAUGAGUGACGGAAAAGUGGUUGCAGAAUGAAAAUGUUUAGGUGUUUGGUGACUGAGGUUUACUGACCUAUGGCAACAGAUUUUGUAUGUCGUGUUUGCUUUGCAGAGCUUUGCCAGUUUUGCCUAACAAGCCCUGGCGCCAAUUCUCUCCCAACUCUCCCGACUCCUCCGGCGAGGUUUCCAUACUGGCUGGUGUAAUAUUGCAUAACAAUCCUAACUGCAGUACUGGAUUUGCACAGCUGAAAAUUAACACUUUAGCAUUAGUGGGGCCCCGUCCUUAUUAACUCCCGUAACAAGUUCAAUCUGAAAUCUAAUUUGUAUUCAAACAGAUUAACGCCACCGAGCAAUCCUGAACUGAUGUUUAACCGUGAAACAUCACCAUGUACAGUAACAAUUUAAUGAAGUCAUCUUUCCAACCUCUAUUUGCAAAUGCAAAUGUAAAAAAACAAUAGAAAAAAAAAUAAAGUUGUAAUAAUAAAUGUUUAGGUGCCCAUCUCGGUAAUCUUAGAUGUUGCAGAAAGAUUUGUUGACCCAUUAGAACUCGUGUUAAACAACCGAGAACCUGCCACUGUACUAUUCAUUCUCUACUAAAAGUGAACUCUGUUGGUGCUGCAUAUGUUUCUUUGUGCUGUUCAAUUUUGUGGCAUUUGCUAAUAUUCACCGUUGCUGCCAAAAAAAAAAAAAAAUCCAAAAAAAUCAAAAAACCUAAACAAAACAAGAAUAUAUUAAAAAUACUGCUUUGUGGAAUGAAUCUGUGUUGCUUCCUACAGUGUUUCUAUGUUCAUCUGUCAUUCAUUCUCAUUCUUGCAGUACUUUGUUCCUCUCUCUCCGUUGGACAACCCUUCCACAUGUAUCGUGCAGCAUUUGGGACCUUUUCAAAAAACAACAACAACAAAAAAAGGAGACACCGAAAUGGAAUGUUUUCCAUAGCUAAAGAAAACAUGGUGGCAUCUGAAGGAAAUUGGAAUGAAUGA